rnacentral:snoRNA from 1 species
UUAUAGUCAAUUAAGCCAGCUGUGCUUCCCACACUGUGUGCAAUGUCUGGAAACAGCAGCCUCCUUGGUCUUCAGCCUGUUGCAUGUAUGGACUGGUCCAGGGGACCUUGGAGAGAACC